AUAAUGUUUCACUCAAUUCUAACAACUCCUUACCUCCUUGGCCAGGUGUGGAAUAGUACCAAAAAGAAUCAGCAAAAGCAUGGCAGAAGAGGGAGCAACAGUCUGGCGGUAGCCAGGAGCAUCAAGCAGGGCACAGAGCUAGAUGCAAUGGGAGAGAUUCUUCAUGUCGUGCUUGUUCCAUAAACCAUCACUACUGAAUAUUUUGCAAUCAUUCAUACUUACAUUGAUCCAAAUGUUUGGUAGUAUCCUUGUUAUUGUUGCCUUGUUGUAUUUCGGCUAUCACUAUCACAUAUGGUCAUCACAAAAAAUAGGCAGAUACUUUAAAAUGGGUGAAUAAAGAAC